GACGAACGCUGGCGGCGUGCUUAACACAUGCAAGUCGAACGGAAAGGCCCUGCUUUUGUGGGGUGCUCGAGUGGCGAACGGGUGAGUAACACGUGAGUAACCUGCCCUUGACUUUGGGAUAACUUCAGGAAACUGGGGCUAAUACCGGAUAGGAGCUCCUGCUGCAUGGUGGGGGUUGGAAAGUUUCGGCGGUUGGGGAUGGACUCGCGGCUUAUCAGCUUGUUGGUGGGGUAGUGGCUUACCAAGGCUUUGACGGGUAGCCGGCCUGAGAGGGUGACCGGCGACAUGGGGACUGAGAUACGGCCCAGACUCAUACGGGAGGCAGCAGUGGGGAAUAUUGCACAAUGGGCGGAAGCCUGAUGGAGCAACGCCGCGUGCGGGAUGACGGCCUUCGGGUUGUAAACCGCUUUCGCCUGUGACGAAGCGUGAGUGAAGGUAAUGGGUAAAGAAGCACCGGCUAACUACGUG
rnacentral:rRNA from 1 species